rnacentral:lncRNA from 1 species
GCCCCGCUGAAAAAUGGCUGCUGCAUCCGAGUGUACUGCGCCCCGGAGCGGGCUGUAGGGCCCGCGCCACCCCGUCCCCGCUGCUCCCUUACCAUGAUGCCGGUGAGUCGCCGAAACCUGGACUGGACUUACUCCUCGUUGCUACUUGCAAUCGUCUUGCUCUCUUGGGGAUUCGUCAUCUAUGCAUCAACUGUAGCUGCACGAUGGCAGCUACAAAAGGAGUUUCCAGACAAAUUCUUCUGAAUGAACUUUUGUAAUUCUUAACAAACUGUUCUUUUCCUCAAAUGGCACCUAUGUAGACUCAAAAGUAAAAUUCACAAUGCAAAUUUGUGUAUGGUCUUUUGUGAUAUGCGUUAACAUGCCAAUUUUUCGAAAAGGUCCGACAACCCUUUCUGUAUCAGGUCGGAGCUUUUCAUUCUCGUGCUCCAGACACUUUACAUCCUCAUGUCAAAUCAGUAUGUAAACAAAACUAUGUGACUACAAUGAAUUUUGCAUCCUACUUAUCAAAACAGACAAAAAAGUAGCUAGUAG